rnacentral:rRNA from 1 species
AGAGUUUGAUCCUGGCUCAGGACGAACGCUGGCGGCGUGCCUAACACAUGCAAGUCGAGCGGGGACAAUAGUAAUAUUGUCUUAGCGGCGGACGGGUGAGUAACGCGUGAGUAACCUGCCGAAGACUGGGGGAUAACACAGGGAAACUCGUGCUAAUACCGCAUAACAUCAUUGGAUGGCAUCAUCUAAUGAUCAAAGGAGUAAUCCGGUUUUUGAUGGACUCGCGUCUGAUUAGCUAGUUGGUGGGGUAAUGGCUCACCAAGGCGACGACCAGUAGCCGAACUGAGAGGUUGAUCGGCCACAUUGGGACUGAGACACGGCCCAGACUCCUACGGGAGGCAGCAGUGGGGAAUAUUGCGCAAUGGGGGAAACCCUGACGCAGCAACGCCGCGUGAAGGAUGAAGGCUUUCGGGUUGUAAACUUCUUUGAUGGGGGACGAACAAAA